GACGAACGCUGGCGGCGUGCUUAACACAUGCAAGUCGAACGAUGAAGCCCAGCUUGCUGGGUGGAUUAGUGGCGAACGGGUGAGUAACACGUGGGUGAUCUGCCCUGCACUCUGGGAUAAGCCUGGGAAACUGGGUCUAAUACCGGAUAUGACCUCUUGCUGCAUGGCGAGGGUGGAAAGUUUUCGGUGCAGGAUGAGCCGCGGCCUAUCAGCUUGUUGGUGGGGUAAUGGCCUACCAAGGCGACGACGGGUAGUCGGCCUGAGAGGGCGACCGGCCACACUGGGACUGAGACACGGCCCAGACUCCUACGGGAGGCAGCAGUGGGGAAUAUUGCACAAUGGGCGAAAGCCUGAUGCAGCGACGCCGCGUGAGGGAUGACGGCC
rnacentral:rRNA from 1 species